rnacentral:rRNA from 1 species
UCCUACGGGAGGCAGCAGUGGGGGAUAUUGCACAAUGGGGGGAACCCUGAUGCAGCGACGCCGCGUGGGUGAAGGAGCGUUUCGGCGCGUAAAGCCCUAUCGGCAGGGAAGAAGGUGACGGUACCUGACCAAGAAGCCCCGGCUAACUACGUGCCAGCAGCCGCGGUAAUACGUAGGGGGCAAGCGUUGUCCGGAUUUACUGGGUGUAAAGGGGGCGCAGACGGCCAUGCAAGCCAGGAGUGAAAGCCCGGGGCCCAACCCCGGGACUGCUCUUGGAACUUCAUGGCUGGAGUACAGGAGGGGCG